UUGACCUCAAAUCAGGUAGGACUACCCGCUGAACUUAAGCAUAUCAAUAAGCGGAGGAAAARAAACUAACAAGGAUUCCCUUAGUAACUGCGAGUGAAGUGGGAAAAGCUCAAAUUUAAAAUCUGGUGGUCUUUGGCUGCCCG
rnacentral:rRNA from 1 species